rnacentral:rRNA from 1 species
GUCGGGAAUAUUGCGCAAUGGAGGGAACUCUGACGCAGUGACGCCGCGUGCAGGAAGAAGGUUUUCGGAUUGUAAACUGCUUUAGACAGGGAAGAAAAAAGACAGUACCUGUAGAAUAAGCUCCGGCUAACUACGUGCCAGCAGCCGCGGUAAUACGUAGGGAGCAAGCGUUAUCCGGAUUUAUUGGGUGUAAAGGGUGCGUAGACGGAGGAGCAAGUUAGUUGUGAAAUCCCUCGGCUUAACUGAGGAACUGCAACUAAAACUACUUCCCUUGAGUACUGGAGGGGAAAGUGGAAUUCCUAGUGUAGCGGUGAAAUGCGUAGAUAUUAGGAGGAACACCAGUGGCGAAGGCGACUUUCUGGACAGUAACUGACGUUGAGGCACGAAAGUGUGGGGAGCAAACAGGA